UGCAGGCUUGGAUUGCAAACUUUUAAAAGAAUGUUGUUCAAGCAGAUGUGAAAUAGAAGUAUUCAGACAUUUGGAGUUGUGUAGGAAGCAUGUAGCUCACGAUUUGUCUGUCACUUUUAAAGAUUUGGUGCAGUGCUCAUGAAUAUGUAGAACCUAAUGUGGUAGUUUAGAGAGGAUUCGAAAGCUUGCUUGAAAAAGAGAAGCGACGAUGACAACUCCGGUGCCGUCUCAGUGGCUGCUAAGGUGAAAGCUGGUGGUAGUAGCCAGGAUGAAGGAGCAUCUGACAAAGUGAAGAAAGCACGCAAGGCACCGCUUUCUAUACUGCUUAAGUUAUUUUCUAGGUUUUUUUUUCUUUUUUGGGUUUGCUUUAUGAACAAGUUUGACUUUUGCUCUUGCUAUUUUCUAUUGAUAUCUAGAACAUCAAUUAUAAAUCUAUUUCAUUUCGG